AUGUCUGCGUCACAAUCCACGGUGGCCUCUACGGAUCAAUCUGAUAUCAUCGUGGAAAACAUCGACAAAGGAGCGAAGGACGAGCAUACACAAAAUAUGCAGAUUGAAUGCAUGAUAACCAAAGAUGAAGAUAUGAACACCGAGUCAAAAAAUGCAAUAGAAGAACAAGGCAUCAUGGAAGAUACAGAAAAUAUGCAGAUUGAUGAGGUACGAAGCGAGGAAGAAUCAAAUGGAAUAGACGACGACGAUGAAGGAUUAACCGUCAAGGAAACAAGCGAAGAAAUGCAGCCAGCUCAAGACAAUGAAUUAGCACAAACAUUCGACACCGAAGGGGCAGAAACUGUAGGGGACAAACUUGCAGAAUUAAAUGGAAUAGCCAACAAAGAUGAAGUGGAGAAAAAUAAGAGCACGCGGUCCACAGAUUCCGAGGAAUUAACCUUCAAUGAAACAAGUGAACAAAUGGAUGCAACUGAGGACAGAGAAUUAGAACUAACGUCUCGCAUGGAAGGGGCACAUACAGGGAAGCCUAUCCGACUGCAUAACAAACCUAAGAAGGCACAAGACUACGUGCUGGCUCCAGAAGGCACGGACAAAUCCUUCUAUGCCCUGCUUUUGCUACAUUUAUUUUCUUUGUCAUUAAUAAAUGUUGUUACUUACAUCAUGAUAGAUUACGCCUGCACUGGCGAUGAUUGGUCUGUGAUUGAAAAUAUCAUGUCUGAACCAAACGAUAAAAGAAAUUUAGUGAGCAUCGACGACUCACAUCUCCAAAGAAAACAGUUAGAACGUCUAUUACUCCCCGAAGAAUUCCUUGGCGACGAAAUCAUAGACGCAUACAUACAUUGCAUAAGUGCUAAAGAGCAUCUACAGAUGAGGUCAGGUGGAAGUGUGUUCUUAGAGAGUGCAUGCAUCUCUAAGAUGAUAAAGGAAUUUAGCUCUAUACGGGAUGACGCACCAAGAUGGGUAUUAAACAGAGCUACAACUUAUUUGGAACAUGAUAUGAUAUUCAUUCCAGUUAACAUUGAACACUUCCAUUGGUACCUAGCAGUUAUAAAUGCCGGGCAGCGAUGCAUCCAGGUGCUCGACUCGCUAGGCCCAAGAAUGAGCCGCAAAGACCUCACCGCUAUGGUUAGUCAUUAG
rnacentral:rRNA from 1 species